UCCCCUUACCUUUAAUCUUUGGUAACCAUAAAUUAGCUUCCUAUAACUGUGAGUCUGUUUCUGUUUGGAAUAUCAUUUGUAUUAUCAUUACUUUUUGGAUUCACAUGUAAGUGGUAUCAUGUAAUAUUCAUUUUUUUCUGUGUCACUUAUUUCACUAAGUAUAAUAUUCUUUAGGUCCAUCCAUGUUGAUAUAAUGGCAAUAGUUCAUUCUUUUAUGGACAAGUAAUAAUAUCCCAUUAUAUAUGGAAUACACAGAUGACAAUCAUCUGUUGAUGGGCACUUGGAUUGUUUCUGCCUUGCUUAUUAAAUAUGAUUGAUAGCAACAUUUCAUGAAGAAGGUAAAACAGCACAUGAUGCAAAACCACAUAUUAUUUACUUCAAAAUGUAAGUUUCACAUGAAGUCUCUGACAAAAUUAGCCAAUCCUUGGGCUGCUGCAAGGUUUCUUGGGGCUUUUUACAACCUCCAAGCCCCUCUUCUGAGUAUGGAACACCCUCUCCUCAUUCCCUAACCCACCUAGCAAUUGGAAUAUUCACAAAGUACCUCUGUAAACACCAACCAGACCUCUUCCCACCCAGACUCCUAAACCCACUGCAAUCUGCUCCUACCUUCUCUGUAGCAUCCCUUCUCCUGAUAACCAGAAAAUUCCUAAUAGUCAGACCUAACAGCCAGUUUUCAGUCCUCAUCCUACCUCAUCUUAGCAUCUGACUUGGAGGACCAUGCUCUCUUGACUUCUUAUCCCCUCAGCUUUCACCCAGCCACUUUUUCCUCAUUAUCUUGCCUCCUUUACCUCCUCUUCUUAGCGUGCUUUCAGAACACCUCUGUCCUUUUCUUGUGUCAAGGUGCCUCCACCCCCACAAGCCUUUUGUCACUAUAAGCUCCUCCUAGGUGUUCAGUUUGACUGCCACGAAUUCACCUAUCAUCUAAUUACUCUCAAAUCUCUGUUUCUAACCCUGAUCGCCUUCUGAGCUUUAGGCUCAAAACCUAUAUAGGUCAGCCCCUUGGGAUAUUCUGCAGGCAAGUGAUUAUCAAAACAGAACUCCCCUUCUCUUGAACUCCCCAGCCCAGUCUAUUUCUACUUUUUCUAUCUCCAUUAAUAGAAGUAAUUCCCAACUUUUCCCUUCCUUGCCCAUUGAUCUAACUGAUCACCAAGUUCUGUCGGUUCUACCUCUCCCAAAGCUCUUCCUCACCUCCUCCUGCUCUCAGGUGUGGUUUAGACGUUCAUCAUAUCUAACAAAUUUGCCCAACUCUAGUUCUUCCCCUUUAUUGGCCAUUAGUCAGUCCUCUCUCACCACGGGGGUUGCCUUCCUAAGAAGAAACAGUCACACUCCGUGGUGACCAUCCACCCCUUAAUCACUUUAACAGCCUUCCCACUGCCAUCCCUCUUUAUAACCCUUCACCUGAGCCCAAAUAUACCUUAUAACUACACUCUUGCCUCUAUGCAGAUUGUUGUUUUCCCAUUACAACUACUCAUGUGUAAGAAUCCAACCUCAGAAGUCAAAAGUUUAAAUGACACCACCAAAUGUUGGAGAUGAUGUGAAGCCCGACUGCCAGUGAGAGUGCAGAAUGGAGCAACCACUUUGGCAAAAGGCAUGGAAGUUUCAUAUAAAGGUCUGCUAAGUAGCAUGGAGUGGUAGCUAACAGCAUGAACUUUAAACCAGACUUUCAAGGUUUGCGCCUGGGCUCUACCACCUUUUAACUUGAGACUUUGGGGCUUCUCUGGUGGCUCAGUGGUAAAGAAUCCACCUACCAAAGCCGGAGACACAGGUUUGAUCCCUGGUCCAGGAAGAUCCCACAGGCCGUGAGGCCACCACGCCAUGUGCCAUAGCUACUGACGCCUGUGCUCUACAAGAGAAGUCACCACAACGAUAAGCCUGCACUCCACAGCUGCAGAAAGGCUGCGUGUAGCAACAAAGACUUAGUGCAACCAAAAACAAAUAAAUAAAAUCAUUAAAAAAAGAAAAAAACUUGCAAAACAGAAGGGAAAAGACGUAUCUCAAUUUUUAAAAAAUGCAACAAAAGGCAAUUCAUAAAAGUAGAAUACAAAUGAAAAAAAGAAAUGUUUUCCUCACUAAUAAACAUAUGAAGUUAUCUUUUUAUAUAUCCCAAAUUGACAGUAAUGAAAAUAAUAUAGCUACUGGGAAGCAAUGACCUCAUAUACUGCAGAAGGCAGUUAAAAAGCCUUAAAAACAUGUAUCUAGGAUUUUCUUCUGAAGAAAAGAUCAAGGGACACGUGUAAAGAUCUAUAUCCAGGGAUAUUCAUCAAAGAAUUUUUUAAAAGUUAUUAAUGGAAAUAAUAGAAAUGUUCUACAGAAGAAGGCUGUUUUGGUACAUCAGUCCAUGUGUACAAUGGAAUACCACAGAGCCCUUAAAAAUUAUGUUGAAGAGUAUGUUCUAACUUGGUAAAUACCAGAAUGUUGAAGCCAUUGCACUCUAAAGUCAGACCUGGAUGUAAAUCCAUCUCUUCCCAGCUUUGUGUUAUGGGACAAUCAGUUUUCUCUCUCUAAGCCUCAGUUUCUCUACUGACCCUUUAAAGUUGUUGAGGGAGAUCAAAUGAAUCAUUUAUAAAAUGUACUUAUAAACACAAUGCCUGGCAUUCAGUGAAUAUGCUCUGCUCAUACAGAGUUGAAGUCAGUAAUACUGGCCUGCAAAAGACAUGUAAUAAACAUCUUUGAAUAAAUAUGAUGAACAUGACAGGAAAUUUUACUAAAAAAGUUGUGUUUAGGUCAAAAAGAAGAUGUGGCUCUAAAGUAAUGAGACCUUGGUUUUAUAGGACUUCAAGAACUCAGGAGGAAAUGCCAAAGGAAAGCUUUCAGAAGGAUUUUGAACAGCAGCAGCAUAUUGAAAUAAAUGUACACAGCCUGGAUAGUUGGAAACACAUUUAGAUCCCUAUCCAUGUGACCACUUUCCAUCAGAAGAUAGCUGUUUGAAUUGUCAGCUCAAAAGCUCCCACUGCCCAGCAAGGCCAAAUGCCAACACACAAAGCCACCCUUCAAACCAGUUAAGUUUAUCUCUAUGCCAAACACAGCCUUGAAGUACAAGUUUAGAUAGAAUGGGAACUGCUGAUGAAGAAUUGCUUCUGUGGACUCAGCCCUGUAAAGGGCCAGAGGAGUAAACAUGAUCUUCCAUGUGAAUGAACUGCAGUGGCUGCAUAUUGAUGAGACACAUUCAAGUCCUGCCUUCAGUGGUGCAGUCAAAAGUAGACUCUUUCCUCGCUCGGGUAUGAAAGCCUAUCUAUAAACAGCUUUGCCAGCUCUGUGGUGCUAGACAGUUGGACAAUUGAAAGAGAGGAUGGUCGUGACUGGACAGUAAGAACAACCCAGUGAGCACAGUUGGAAGUUGGAAAUAUCUCCAGCCUUUGUCCUUCACUCGUGACCCCCUCAGCCUGGAAACCUUGGCAUAUUGCUAAAGCUCCUCUUAGAGAAAAUAGCUCCAAUGAAUGGAGUUCACAGUCCUUUGCCUCUGAUUUAAGGUUCUCUCCCACCUCCUAUCUGCCCACAGCUUCAGCUCUUCCAUCGGGAGUACUUCCCCAGGGGCCUUCACCUUAGGAACUCUCUGCCUACAACUUGACACUCCCUGGAAAUGUCCCAGGACCUUUUGUACUCAUUCUAUGAGCUCAUCUCCCAGGUAAGAAGCCCUCACCUUGCCAUUCACUGACUAAAUCCCAUUCAUCCUUAAAACCCUGUGAAAUUCAAGUCUACUGUGAGAAGUUCUUCUUUUAAAUUCUUUAGCAUUUAUUGUUUCUACCACUUAACCUGGCCUUAGCAUGUUCUGCUUUCUGUUGUUGCUUGACUGGUAAGCUACAGAAGAGGGACUAGAUCUUGGCCUUUUUUUGUGAGUCUCCCCUCAACACACACACACGCACACACGCACGCCCCACAUAGCACAAGGCUGAGAACACUGAGAAUGCUCAAUAAAGAAACAUUUUUGGCCUGAAUGAAUGGCCUGAAGGACUGUUCCUUUCAACAAUUAUGGCCCAAUAAAUUAUACUGGCAUUGCCUCCUAGAGAGAAAGGCCACACUAAGGCUCCACAGAUGGGGAAACUGCUCUGUCUGCCAAAACCCAGAUUCAGGGCAGCCUUGGCCCUGUUUGGCUGUCUACCUGAAUCUGGGUUUAACAACUUGGACUACAGUUUUACAGCCUAAGUCACCAGGCUCAGCACAACAGCAUGAGUUCUUUGUCCACAUGCUGGUGCCAGGUGUUAAGGGAACUGGCUCACUCUGCUUAAGGAGACCUGCAGGUGGGGGAGGGGCUGCCUGUGCUCCAAGCUGUCAAGCCAGGGGGCUUGUCUGCAAAAGGAGCCUUCAUCUGGAUCCUAAACAGGAAAAAAGAAAUGAGGAAAGUUUAUAACAUGAGGAUUUCAGGCUGGAUGCUGGGGAAAGGGGGGUGGGGAAGUAGAAUGACCUGAAGGUCAUGACUGAAUGGGACAAAGCUGAGAAAAAUGGCCUAGACUCAAUCAGAUUUUAUUUCCGUUGUUGUAAGAGUUGCACAAUCCUAGGAAGGUGAAAGAAGACAGGAAUCCGUCAAAUUAAAUCUUUAGAGUUGAGGUUACUUUUUUUUUUUCCCCAAACCAUGCAGUAUAUAGGAUCUUAGU